GACCGCGAUGGGUAGCCGGCCUGAGAGGGUGAACGGCCACAAGGGGACUGAGACACGGCCCUUACUCCUACGGGAGGCAGCAGUGGGGAAUAUUGGACAAUGGACCAAAGUCUGAUCCAGCAAUUCUGUGUGCACGAUGACGGUCUUAGGAUUGUAAAGUGCUUUCAAUCGGGAAAAAGAAAGUGAUGGUACCGAUAGAAGAAGCGACGGCUAAAUACGUGCCAGCAGCCGCGGUAAUACGUAUGUCGCAAGCGUUAUCCGGAUUUAUUGGGCGUAAAGCGCGUCUAGGCGGUUUGGUAAGUCUGAUGUGGAAAUGCGGGGCUCAACUCCGUAUUGCGUUGGAAACUGCCAGACUAGAGUACUGGAGAGGUGGGCGGAACUACAAGUGUAGAGGUGAAAUUCGUAGAUAUUUGUAGGAAUGCCGAUAGAGAAG
rnacentral:rRNA from 1 species